rnacentral:tRNA from 1 species
GCGGGUAUGAUGGAAUUGGCAGACAUGUGAGAUUUAGGUUCUCAUGUCGCAAGACGUGCAGGUUCGAGUCCUGUUACCCGCACCA